rnacentral:lncRNA from 1 species
UGGCCGGGGCCAGGCGCAUGUGGGCGAGGGGGACCCCUGCACAAGCCCUGCGGCCUGGACCCUGGCUGGGUACAUGGGGCCCCUUUGCCUCCGGUGGCCCUGGGCUCUGUGCCCAGGUGGGGGCUGGAGACGGGCCCUGAGCUGCGGCAGGGCUCCCCCGUCUGCAACUCUGCCCUGGGAGUUCGGUGCCCCCAGCCUGGGCUGCUCCUAGGGGUGCAGCGCUUCAGUGACCCCCACCCAGUGCAGCUGCAGGGCAACGGGGGUCACUCCUGGGGGGCCCAGUGUGUCCCACCCCCCAACAGGCCUCACUCCAGGAGGGGGUAGCAUGUCCCACCCCUCAACAGGCCUCACUCCUGGGGGGACGGGGGGGCCCAGCAUGUCCCAUCCCCCACCUCCCAACAGGCCUCACUCCUGGGGGGGGGGAGCAUGUCCCAUCCCCCACCCCCCAACAGGCCUCACUCCUGGGGGGGACAGCGUGUCCCACCCCCCAACAGGCCUCGGGGGGGCAGUGUGUCCCACCCCCCAACAGGCCUUACUCCUAGGGGGAGGGCCGUGUGUCCUGUCGUCCCCCACUCCCAAUAGGCCUCACUGCUGGGGGCGGGAGGCAGCGUGUCCUUUCCCCCCAGCCACUCCCAAUAGACCCCACUCCUGGGGGGCCGGUGUGUCCUGUCCCCACCAACAGGCCUCACAGGCCUUCUGGGGAGCGGGAGGGGGCAGUGUCUCCUGUCCUGCCCCUCAGGGCCUCACUUCUUACAGUCCCAGGCCUCAGUGUUUUCGGGGGGAAGGGUGUGGGGGGGCUGGGAGCCAGGACUCUUGGGUUCUGUUCCAGCUCUGGCUUGUGACUUGGGGCCAGUCCUUCCCUCGCUUUAUGUAGUUGGUCUCUGGCAUUUCCAGAGGGGGCAGGUCAGCUGCUUUCAUUACUUCCUCCCCCCUCGGACACACACACUACAGCCCCUUCUUUCCCUGCACUGGGGCAGCAGGUGUCUGGGGACUGCCCUGCCCCUGGGCUCCAGCCCCCUCGCCCGCUGCGGGCAGGGGGACGGGUUGGGCUUGGCACAUGCCUGCUGGCUGCAGCCUUUCCAUUUGCACAGAGCCAGCCUCCGGUGGCCAGUGCUGGCCACUCCAGCAGCACAGGGCUCCUCCAGCAUGCGUGUGUGCAGGGGGGUGGCCAGGUCUGUCCUGUGCUGGCCACGCCGGGGCCCCUCUGCCGCCGGGCCAGGUGGCGCUGCGGCCCUUUCUCCUCUGCCAAGGGAGAAGUGGUUUGUUUUUCUUGCUAAUUUAAUCCCUGGUUCUACCCCAACCCCCCACAUCUGUGAAGGCUCCAGAAUAAAAGGGUACGAAGUCACCCUAUGUGUGCUGGG